rnacentral:lncRNA from 1 species
ACAAGAGUGAGACUGCCUCAAAAAAAAAAAAAAAAUGUGCACAAAUAUGGACAGUGCUGCCGAGAAGUGUGGCAAAAACACAAGUGGUUCUCUCGUUUUGUGCUCAGAUAUGUGACUUUGCCCUCACAGGCCCCUGGGAUUUAGAAUCUUCCUUCUGAAAGGCGUCCUGUGCACUCCGGAGCACCAGCUUGAGCAAAUGAAAAGGCUCAGCCGAGGGGCUGGGACACAGCCCACCUUGAUGACAGCUGCUCCUGGCUGUGCAGGGACUCUAGGAAAGGCCACUCCCCGACUAGGACCAGCAGGCCCUGCGGAGGCUGGCUCUCCCUUGCUGUUUGGACUCUUCCCUCCCCAGCCCCAAGCCUCAUCAAAGGCUGCCCUUUCCUGUUCACUGACCACCGCUGCUUUGACGCCAUUAGCCCUUGAGCUCCUGGAAGAAAAGGAAGAACCUUGUUUUCCCUGGGCUCGGUGCCAAGAGACUGUGGGCAGUUGCUCAAGAUUCACUUAUGAAACUCCAGAUCUCAGGAGGACGGAAGCUUGGGACAAACACCGAGCCUCCCACCCCCACUCUAACUCUGUUUCUGAGCACUUUACAGGAGGAGCAGGUUGUCCACCGGGCCAGAGGUGUCCAGCAUUGAGCUGCUGGGCCCGGAUGAGCAGCAGUGUUCCCAGAAGGCGGUGGUGCAGGCCCGCCUGACCCAGCCUGCCCACCUCACCAGCAUCAUCUUCGCAGAGGACAUCAGUAAGGGCUGAGUGCCCUUACAGGCAUGAGCCACCUUGCUCAGUCUAUUUCCACAGGCCAGGUCCUGCGCUGUGACGCCAUCGUGGACCUCAUUCACGGCAUCCAGAUUGUUUCCACCACCCGUGAGCUCUCCCUGGAGGACUCCCCGCUGGAGCUGAAGAUCCAGGCCCUGGACUCCGAGGGUAAGGACGUCCCCCUGCCUGUUUGUCCUCUGCAGCCCAUGCUGGAUUGUCCCCCCACCGUGACCCUGGCCUCUCUGCAUUCCCCUCUUCUCUGGUGUCCAGCCCUGCAGGUCCCCUGGAGGGCAGCUCCAGUCAGGGAGGUGAAGGUGCUGCUAGGGGAGGUGCUGAAGAGGCAGAAUUCACCUGCGAGGUGGGCCCCAAGCCCUCAGUGGCAUCGAGCCAUGGCCACUCCUGGCACUCAGGGGCCCCUGCAGUGGGGCCAGUGUGCUCAGAGCUGUGGCAGUCCCUGGAGCCAGACCCUGCUGGUCGCAGCGCUGGUCCUUGGUGCAGCAGUCUUGGGGAAGCCAGCAUUCUCAGCACCAGUAGGAGGCUGGGAGAGGCUGGCUGGGCCAUGCCUCCUGCUCCGGCUCUUGGGGCAGGUUUUGCUUCCUGGUCCAGAACUUAGAUCCUGUGUGCCAGGCACGAAAGGUCCUUUCAUCCUGGAGGAGACUGAAGCAUGGAGCAGGGUGAGAUGCAUGGUGUACAGGGUCCUGCCUGUUGGCAUGAGAUUCACCUUUUUCUCAAAGCAGAGGGAAGCUAAGGAAGGGGUAGGUGCAGGAAGUUAUGGAAGCUUGCAUGCAGGGUUUUUGGGAGCAUAAGCUGUUCUUGGGAGCAGAACGGGCAAAGUUUGAGUCCACCUUGCCGCCAGGCCGUCCUAGGAGCACUUCGCACGCCCUAGCUCAUUUGCCGCACAGCGACCCAACAAUGCAGGCACAGAGUGAACACACCCACACGCUCACCCGAGUGUGCACACACACACAACAGAUGCAGAGCUCGCAAGCAGCCGAGCCUGGCCCCAGAGGUGACCCUUUGGUGGAGGGCUGGAUGGAAAUAUUGUGGGCUUUCCUGGCCAUAUGGUCUCUGUGGCAACUAUGCAGUUCUGUCAUUGUCUCACUAAAGCAGCCAUAGACGAUGCAGAAGUGAAUGGGCAUGACUGUGUUCUAAUAAAACUUUAUUCAUAGAAAUAGGGGGCUAGAUUUGGCCCAGGGGCUGCAGUUCGCAAUCUCUGUUCAUAACUACUCUGUUCUGUUUCCUGCCUUAAGUCACUUUUUAAAAAAUAGCUGUUUAUUUUUAUCAAGAUUUAUAUCACAUGAAAUUCACCCAUUUCAAGGGUACAAUUCAGCACUUUUUGGUAGAUUCACACAGUUGUGCAACCAUCGCCAGUGUCCAACUUCAGAACAUUUUCAUCACCCCAAAAGGAAGCGCCACACUCAUUGCAGUCACUCCCCAUUCUCUCCUCUCUCCAGCCCCUGAUGACCACGAAUCUGCGUUCUGUCUCUUUGCAUUUGCCCGUUCUGGACAUUUCAUGGGAAUUGAGUCACAGUGGGUGUAGCUGUAUACGACCAUGUGUGCAGUCUUUUGUGACUGGCUUCUCUCACUGAGCACGUUUUUCAGAGUUCAUCUGUGCUGUUGCGUGUAUCCACACUUGGUUCCUUUUUGUUGUUAAGUAACUUUCUAUUGCAGGGGUCAAUGGCGUUUUGUUUCUCUGUUCGUCCUUUGAUGGACUCUGCAUUGUUUUCACAUGUUGGCGGUUAUGAAUAAAGCUGGUGAGAGCAUUUACAUGUGGACGUGUAUUUUCCAGUCUCUUGGGUCGACACCUAGGAGUGGAAUUGCUGGGGCAUAGAAUAACUCUGUGUUUAACUGUUUGGGAGCUGCCAGGCAAUUUCCCAACUGGCUUCAGAUUCCUGGGGGCAGUGUGUGAAGGUGCCAUGAUCUCCAUGUCUUGGCCAGCACUUGCUAUGGCUCAUCCUAUGGUUCUAGUUAAGCCCCUUUAAGGUGACUUCUUUCCUAAGUGUGCGUCCGUUCUCCCCAGCAGGUUGUGGGCGAUGCUGGGAUUGGGGAGGUGCCUGCUCUGGGCCUUCUGUGACCACUGUUAUGCCAGGACAUCCUGGCACCCCUGGAUAGUUUCCUCUCACACUCCCCCCAACUCCUGAAGGGUUGAUAGCCCCCGCAGCCAGUUCCAGAGUAGAACAUUAUCUGGUCUCCACAGCCUGGGUCAUUUACCAGCAGCCCAUGUCAAGGGCCCACCUUUGCAGCAAGGAAAUGGUUAACUCCCUUCCUCACCCACCAUGAGGGCGUAAUGCUUUCUAAGUGGUCCUCCUUGCCCCAAAAUACUUUGAUGAGUACUUUCAUCAUCCUUUUGCCUUUUUUCUGAGCCUGCAACCCCUCUUCUGGUCAGAGUCUUCACCGUGAAGAUGAACUUGUCCCUUGGAGGCUUUGAGUGUAUAGCAGUACCAGAAAGAAUGUGCCUUAUCCAGACUGAUGAAUGUCCAGAAAGAUAAUUGCUCAACAAACAGUGGCACCCUGGCUGCCCAUGGGUGCCAGGCAGUGUGUUGUCCCCUUAGUAAGUACAGUGUCUUAUUGUGCUUAUAAAUGGUCUGAUGCCCGCUGUAUAGACGAGGAGGCUGAGGUUCAGCUUCAGAAACUUGCCCACAGUCACACAGCUCGUGGGUGCCGAGCAGGGGCUGGGAUCCAGGAUGUCUGACUGUUGCCUGAGCUCUUUUCCGCCCGGACGCACGGCCUGUCUCCUGCUGCUGCAUUUUCCUGGGCAUUGGGGGCCCUCCCCAUGUGGCUGGGAUCUGCCUUUUUGGCCAGAGGCCGCCUGCAGAGUGCCUGCCUCCAGUGAGUGUUCUCACAGCAGAACUGGACUAGCUCAGGGUUUCCAAAGAUGCCCCCUCCUCACCUUUCCCUAUGUUGCCUCUUCUACCUGGAGCACCUUCCCCUCCUGCACUCUACUUUCAGAAGCCAUGCUUCCUCUGGCAUUGCCUCUCAGGUGUCCCCUCCUCCAGGGAGCCCACCCUGGCUGCCCAAGGUGGGACUUGUUCCUCCCUUCAAUGUUCCUCAGCUCUUCAGUGGACCCUUCAAUGACCCUAGGGUGCAGGACAUUUUCUACUGCGAUUUGUCAAGGUCAGCACUCGGAGGACAAAACUGGGAUCAGUUCAUUCUUCUGGACUCUUUUGUGUCUGACACUGGACUUUGCCCAGCUGGCAUCAGGUAAAUGUUUGUUAGGUUGAAUUGCUUAACAUUUUCCUGCAGCCCUCCUGCAGGACAGGGGAGGUGGAUCCUCUGGAAACUGGACCGCUGGCUUUCCUGGUUAAUAUCUAAACUUGGCUUCAAGGCAGACUUGCCAAGGGUUCAGAGCAUACACCUGCCGAGGGUUCAGGGCGUACACCUGCCGAGGGUUCAGAUCGUAGACCUGCCGAGGGUUCAGAGCGUAGACCUCCUGGUCCUUCCUGGGAAAGGAGCCCAUCUUCCUCUGCAGGGACCUGGGCUGCAAUCUCUUUUCACUUUUCUUGGGGUACUCGGUGCUCUGGAGGCAAAGGCUGUUUUCUGGCUCCAUGCCCCUGCCAGCCUUCCCCCAGAAAACCCAUCCAGGCUCACUGUUUCCUCCUCUAGGGCUUAUUUCUUCCUCUCUAGGGCUUAUUCCCUUGUCAGGGUAACAAAAUGGGUGUGUGUGUGAAAGGGGUGAGCUGGAAAAAAAGGAGAGGCACGGCCAGCCCUCACCCAGAGAAGCCUGCUUGGGCCCAAGGCCACAAAUGCACCCACCCACCCCCUUGUCAGGGCCUCUUGUUCUGUCCACCUGCAAAUGUGCCUGUUCCUCCCUCUAGGAACCACAAUUCACCAGCGUCCUGUCCCCACCCCCCUUACACCUCCAUCGCUUUCCUAUGCUGGGCCUCAGGAGACUGUUUGCUGCCUGCACCCCUGCCACUCCCCAGCCCCAGCCCCACUCCUGUGCCCUACAUCACCUACCCGCAAAGGGGUCCCCUCUCAUACCCAAGCAUCUCACCCCGGUCUCAGCUUCCCCAAGUGGAGACUGCACUGGCUUCAACAAAAAUUGCCCUGUGCCUCCUCUGCACCCCCAAUACUAGGGUCAGCAGAGCUUGGGCCAUCAGGCUUGCUCAUGUCCCUCGGCGAGGGUAGAGCCCAGGACCACUCUCCAGGACCUGGUCUCCUUUGCUGUGUUCCCGCCAGCAUCUCCCUGCUCUCAGGAGAGGGGGAGGGGUGCGCCCAGGAACUAAGAGCAAGUCCCUUCCCCAUCCUCUCACAGGAAUUCCUUCGGGUGUCACAGCCUCACCCCCGCCCACCCUGUCCCACCCUGGAGUCCCCAUUCGGCUUUGUGGAGACCUGCAGCAGCUACUUGUACCUCACAAAAUGAGGCCCUGGGAACAUCGGCGGCGACCGGGUGGGGGGGAGCGGCGAGGCUGUGUCCCCAGAGAGGCCCUGUCGUCGUCCUCCAUUCUCCGGGUUGUGCCCAGGUCCCCAGAGGCACAACCAGACCCCAUGGGUGCAGCUGGAGGGUGCCUCCCAUCCGCCAUCCCCUUUGGAUGGGCCGGAAAACCCCCAAGGAAGUCCUAGCGCAGUUCACGUUGCCCCAGCCGACCACGUGAGGGCGCGCCCUGUGUUAGUUUGGACAAAUUAAAGCUCCUCUAGCGGGCAGGCCUGGAGCCCCCCAGGCCGGGCCAGUGCUCGGGUGCCCGUGGCAUUCUCUGGGCUGCCGGCCGCCAAGCUCCUGGCCGUGGGUCCUCCUCUGGGGCCCGCGCUAUUGGCCUCCAAACGAGGUGCCCCCCUCCUCUCGCGCUCCCGCAGCCUAGGGUGCACCUCUCCGUUCGCCUUUGCUGAGCUGUUCCAGGACGCAAGCCGCCUCUCCACUGCGUUGGGAGCUCAGGCCCCGUUUGGGGCGCCCCGCUGCGGGCGCAGUGGCGCUGGAGAGGCGCGGUCCGAGCAGCCAGCGGCCAGAGAAGGGGCUCCAAGAAGCACAAGUUGGCGCUGGCCCCGGACCAGGCUGUUGUUGUUCUCAACGUGGUCCGCCAUGAACCUAUAAAAAGCCGACAGACUCGCUCUCCUCUCCAGAGCGCACCGCGCACGCUCAGCGAGCUCCAGAGGCGCCAGUGGAAACAGCGGCCGCCGCGCGCGUUCGGCGGGAUUCCUCUUCUCUCCGGCUCGGCCUAGGUCUGCG